AGCAGCCGCGGUAAUUCCAGCUCCAAUAGCGUAUAUUAAAGUUGUUGCAGUUAAAAAGCUCGUAGUUGAAUUUCGGGAUCAAUUAAUUGGUCGUGCCUCUGGUACGCACUGGUUUUAUUGGUUUCUCCCUUCUGACGAACCACGAUGUCAUUAAUUUGGUGUCGUGGAGAAUCAGGACUGUUACUUUGAAAAAAUUAGAGUGUUUAAAGCAGGCUAACGCUUGAAUACAUUAGCAUGGAAUAAUGAAAUAGGACGUUUGAUCCUAUUUUGUUGGUUUCUAGGAUCGACGUAAUGAUUAAUAGGGAUAGUUGGGGGCAUUAGUAUUCAAUUGUCAGAGGUGAAAUUCUUGGAUUUAUUGAAGACUAACUACUGCGAAAGCAUUUGCCAAGGAUGUUUUCAUUAAUCAAGAACGAAAGUUAGGGGAUCGAAGACGAUCAGAUACCGUCGUAGUCUUAACCAUAAACUAUGCCGACUAGGGAUCGGAUGAUGUUAAAUUUUUUUAAAUGACUCAUUCGGCGCC
rnacentral:rRNA from 1 species